rnacentral:rRNA from 1 species
AUGACUGGAUGGUUUUCGAAGAUUGCCAACUGGAAGAGCUCACCUUUCAUACACAUGAAUGCACGGAGCAAACGUCAAGGCUCUUCAUUAUGCUUCACUAUGCUGUGGAUGCUUCUGUUCCCCAACCUCUGGAUAAUAUGCAGCGGCAGUAUUCAGAAACACAUUCUCCUGCCAGGGUUCAGUGCCUCAGAAAUGGAUUACAUUGAUAACAAUGGAAUAUUUCUGCUCUCGAAUGGAUCGGUGUUUGGCUUUGGUUUUGCCAGCAGCAGUGCGUCAGAGAGCACAUCCUACCUUCUUCAAGUGGUCCACCUGGGCACCACUACCGUCAUCUGGACUGCGAAUGCUAACUCUCCAGUUUCGCAUUCGGAUAGCUUUGAGUUUGACAAGGAUGGCAAGGCCUACCUGCAGUCUGCAGGCUCCAGUGUCUGGACUGCCAAUAUCUCUGGCAAAGCCACCUCUAUGCAGCUGCUGGACUCCGGCAAUCUUGUAGUGCUCGGCGAAGAUAGCUCUUCUCCUCUGUGGCAGAGUUUCAGCUAUCCAACAAACACACUUCUGUCUGGCCAGAGCUUCAGUGAUGGUAUGACACUUGUGAGCCAUUCCACCGAACAGAACACGACACAUACACUUCAAAUCAAAUCUGGGGACAUGAUGUUGUACGCAGGGUUCCAACCAUACUGGUCCGCACUGCAGGAUAGUAGGCUGAUCGUUAACAAGGAUGGUGCAAUAUACUCUGCGAACCUCAGUUCAACUUCUUGGUCCUUCUAUGAUAAAUCAGGUUCUCUUCUAUCACAGCUCAUCAUAGCGCAGAAGGGUGAUGCCAACACCACGUUAGCUGCUGUCCUCGGUGAGGAUGGGUCAAUUGCCUUCUAUAUGCUGCAGAGUGCAAAUGGCAAGACUAAUCUGCCAAUCCCAAUCCCACAGGACUCGUGUGACACGCCAACCCACUGCCAACCGUACUCUAUUUGCAAUAGUGGGACAGGAUGCCAAUGCCCUUCAGGCCGCGGCUCCUAUCCAAACUGUGACCCUGGUCUCGUAUCACCUUGUAAGUCAAAAGAGGUGUUUCAGCUGGCUCAACUGGACAGUGGAGUUGGAUAUAUCGGUACUAGCUUCACCUCACCUGUGCCUAAGACAAACAUCACAGGUUGCAAGAAUACUUGCAUGGGAAAUUGCUCAUGCAUCGCCGUGUUCUUCGACCAAAAAACAGGCAAUUGCUUCAUUUUUGACCAGAUUGGUAGCUUGCAGCAGAAAGGUGCAAGUAAAACUAAUUUUUCAUCUUUCAUCAAGGUAUCUAGCAGUGGCUCAGGGCAAGCUGGGAGUGGCAAUGACAAUGGAAAUCACAACAUUAUUAUUGUUGUCAUUAUAGUCGUAACUUUGGCUGUCAUUGGUGGCCUCAUUUAUGUCGGUUUCUUCAUUUAUAGGAGGAAGAGGUAUCCUCCGUCCUCACAAGAUGAGGCUGGUUCAUCGGAAGAUGAUGGAUAUCUGCAGACGAUAUCUGGAGCACCAGUGCGGUUCACUUACAGGGAGCUCCAGGAUGCAACAAACAACUUCUCUAACAAGCUUGGCCAAGGAGGAUUUGGAUCUGUAUAUCUGGGAACACUCCCAGAUGGCAGUCGCAUUGCUGUAAAGAAGCUGGAGGGCAUAGGCCAAGGGAGGAAAGAGUUCCGCUCCGAGGUGACGAUAAUUGGCAGCAUCCACCACAUCCAUCUAGUUAAACUCCGAGGCUUCUGUGCUGAGGAUUCACACAGGCUUCUUGCAUAUGAAUACAUGGCGAAAGGGUCACUGGAAAGGUGGAUUUUCCGUACUAAGGAGGGUGAUCCCCUUCUGGACUGGGAUACAAGGUUUAACAUUGCACUUGGAGCAGCAAAGGGAUUGGCAUACCUCCAUCAGGACUGUGAAUCGAAGAUCAUUCAUUGCGACAUCAAGCCUGAGAAUUUCCUGCUUGAUGACAACUUCCUUGUGAAGGUAUCUGACUUUGGCCUUGCCAAGUUGAUGAGCAGGGAGCAGAGCCAUGUUUUCACGACGAUGAGAGGCACGCGGGGCUAUCUCGCGCCCGAGUGGAUCACCAACUACGCCAUCUCAGAGAAGAGCGACGUAUACAGCUAUGGCAUGGUUCUGCUCGAGAUAAUCAGCGGGAGGAAAAAUUUUGAUCCCGUGGAAGGCUCAGAAAAGGCCCAUUUCCCGUCCUUUGCUUUCAAGAAGCUGGAGGAGGGCGAUCUUCGCGAGAUCCUUGACUCCAAGCUGAGGUAUAACGACAAGGAUGAGCGACUGGAGAUCGCGAUCAAGGUUGCUCUGUGGUGCAUCCAGGAGGAUUUCUACCAGAGGCCGUCCAUGUCGAAGGUGGUCCAGAUGCUCGAGUGCGUCUGCGACGUGCCCCAGCCACCGAUGUCCUCACAGAUCGGAUAUAGGCUCUAUGCGAAUGCCCUCAAAUCGAGCAGCGAGGAGGGCAUGUCGUCGGGGAUGUCGGACUACAACAGUGAGGCUCUGCUUUCAGCAGUGCGGCUCUCUGGUCCUAGAUGA